rnacentral:misc_RNA from 1 species
GAUGAAGAACGCAGCGAAAUGCGAUACGUAAUGUGAAUUGCAGAAUUCAGUGAAUCAUCGAAUCUUUGAACGCACAUUGCACUCUCUGGUAUUCCGGAGAGUAUGCUUGUUUGAGUAUCAGUAAACACCUCAAAUCUCUACAUUCGUGUUGAGAAUUGGACUUGAGCAAUCCCAACUCUUUGCAAAAAGGGGCGGGUUGCUUGAAAUGCAGGUGCAGCUGGACAUUCUUCUGAGCUAAAAGCAUAUUUAUUUAGUCCCGUCAAACGGAUUAUUACUUUUGCUCUAGCUAAUAUAAAGGUCGAAUGGACUAUACGCUGACUGAUGCAGGAUUACCAAGUUUCCGUCAAAAGAAAUUUGUAAACUCGAUCUCAAAUCAAGUAAGACUACCCGCUGAACUUAAGCAUAUCAAUAAGCGGAGGA